rnacentral:rRNA from 1 species
UAGAACCGAUAAUCCCCGUUAAACCUCACCUUUCCUUGUUUUUACCGCCUAUAUACCGCCGUCGUCAGCUUACCCUGUGAAGGCCCCAUAGUAAGCAAAAUUAGCAUAGCUCAGUACGUCAGGUCGAGGUGUAGCGCAUGGAGAGGGAACAGAUGGGCUACUACGAAUUAUGCAUUGAAAUAUGCAUAUGAAGGAGGAUUUAGUAGUAAGCCGGAAAUAGAGUGUCCCGCUGAAAGGCCCUAAAGCGUGCACACACCGCCCGUCACUCUCCCCAAACUUAUACUAAAACCCUACAAUCUAAGGGGAGGCAAGUCGUAACAUGGUAAGCGUACCGGAAGGUGUGCUUGGAUAAAC